AAUCUGAACACAAGGAAAAGGAAAUGCUAAUCAAUUCCCACACUGUAUUUUGCUAUUAAGUGUAAUAAUAAAACAUCUUUAAUCAAAUGUUCAAUCAUAAACCAUAAACAGCAUAACAAGAAAACAUCUAGAACCUUCAAUAUUGAUUUACUUUUAUUGAACACGCAACUCCAGCCAGAGUCAUAAAGCAAACAUCUUCCUUGAUUCAAAAGACAAAAAAAGGCAACAAAUGGAUGUUGAUUUGAAAGGGAAGUGACUUUAUAUCAAUAAAAAAGAAUUGUUGUUUGAAAAAAGAAUUUUCAAAAUACAUUCAUGGGAAAUUAUCAUUUGUAUACCCUUAGUUUACUCCAUUAUCAAAAAUACUACAACACUUUGAGGGUGUAUCAAUCGUCCACCCUAAGUUGACAAAAUGUAUCAGCUAACCACCAAACCGUUAGUUGCCGUUUAAGUAUGAUGACAUCAGAAGGGUAAUUUGGUCUUUUCAUAUGAUACAAGUGAUAAUUUAAGGGUAUACAAGUGAUAAAAAGAGAAUUUAAGGGUAUACAAGUGAUAAUUUUCAAGGGUAAAAUCGUCAAUUCACUGUACUUCCGUUAACUUUCAAACGGCAACUAACGGUUUGGUGGUCGGCUGAUACAUUUUGUCAAUUAAGGGUGGACGAUUGAUACACCCUCAAAGUGUUGUAGUAUUUUUGAUAACAGAGCAAAUAUAGGGUAUACGAAUGAUAAUUUCCCUACAUUCAUUAAUCAACAUUUGAAUAAGGCUUAAAGUCAAAGAGAGAAUAGUUUUAAACAAUAGUAUGAAACUACAUGCCGCCAACAGAUUUGCAGGUCAAACAAAUCAAUGUUAUAGGAAACAGGAAUGAUCAAUAACAGCAUGCAGUUGGGAAUCUAGUAACGUCUUUCCCUGGGAAGGCAAAACUCAGUAAAAUAACAAAACUUCAAGGACAGAAAGGCAGUCAUAGAACCUCGAAUUCCCCCACAAAAUCAAGGCGUCACACAAUCAUUCAAUCAAUCAAUCAUGAUUCAAUUAAUAUAUUAAAAACUGGACAAUUAAGAAAACAAAGAAACAUACUUUGAAGAAAUUCAGCAAGAAACUGCCCCGUACACCGGCUCUUUAUCGGCCAAUCUUAAAAAAUACUAUAUGAUAAGAAACCGAAAAUUUCCCCAUUCUCAUGGAAAAUUACUUUAAUUGGUUCUAAAACGUCUCACCUAG
rnacentral:lncRNA from 1 species